UACGUAGGGGGGCUAGCGUUUGUCCGGAAUCAUUGGGCGUAAAGGGCGCGUAGGCGGUCUCUCAAGUGGAUGGUGAAAUCCCCGGGCUUAACCUGGGAACUGCCGUCCAAACUGAGCGACUUGAGUCCGGGGAGAGGUAAGUGGAAUUCCCAGUGUAGCGGUGAAAUGCGUAGAUAUUGGGAGGAACACCAGUGGCGAAGGCGGCUUACUGGACCGGAACUGACGCUGAGGCGGCGAAAAGCGUGGGGAGCAAACAGG
rnacentral:rRNA from 1 species